rnacentral:rRNA from 1 species
GGAGGAAAGUAGGGGAUCGCAAGACCUUGCGCUUUUGGAGCGGCCGAUGUCUGAUUAGCUAGUUGGUGAGGUAAAGGCUUACCAAGGCUUCGAUCAGUAGCUGGUCUGAGAGGACGACCAGCCACACUGGGACUGAGACACGGCCCAGACUCCUACGGGAGGCAGCAGUGGGGAAUUUUGGACAAUGGGGGAAACCCUGAUCCAGUCAUGCCGCGUGAGUGAAGAAGGCCUUCGGGUUGUAAAGCUCUUUCAGCCGGAACGAAAAGGUUACGGUUAAUACCCGUGACUAAUGACGGUACCGGAAGAAGAAGCAUCGGCUAACUACGUGCCAGCAGCCGCGGUAAUACGUAGGGUGCGAGCGUUAAUCGGAAUUACUGGGCGUAAAGCGUGCGCAGGCGGUUUUGUAAGUCAGAUGUGAAAUCCCCGGGCUCAACCUGGGAACUGCGUUUGAAACUACAAAGCUAG